GACACUUAAACAACGUAAGCCCUGCCUCUCAUACGUCCUUGCGGUUCCAAGCCCGCGCCAGCUAGAGUAAGUGUAAAUCUCAGAUG
rnacentral:sRNA from 1 species